CCCACAUGGGCUCUAGCAGCCUGUGUCAACAGUGCAGAGAACAAGUCUCCAGGAACAAAAGUGCAGUUUUCCUCUGGGGACAGGAGGAGCCUCUUUUGAAGUCUCUUUUAUGAUGAGAGUGUAAAAUUAUCAAGACCCACUGAACUGAACAGAGUUUAAAGUGGGAUUUCUGACCAGUCCUUGCUUCUUCUUCCCAGAUGUUUCUCAUGCAAGAAGGGCUCAAGCACAGUGACAACAUCUGCUCUAAGGGCUUUUCAGUUGUGUUAAGGAGCAAGACGGAUCAGCAGCUGCAUGAGAAAUCCUCUUCAAGGAAAGUCACAGACAGUAAGCUCAGCAGGAGCAGAACUCCUUAAGGUGGUUACACACACAGCUGGAUGAACUGGACUCUGUUAGAACUGGACACUGUCCUAACACAACCUGUGAGCGCCAAAGCUCAGGAACAAGCCACUCUCUGCAGUCUCUCCCUGUAUCUGCAACUGUUCCUGUUGCACACAUUUGACACCUGUCUCUAGACAGUGGACGCUCCCCCAUCAAAA